ACUGUUUUCAGAUGGCAUUAGCAGCAUCAGUGAUAUAGCUGUGUCAGCCGCCUUGACUAUUGGAUGUCUGUAAUCGCACAGAGGAAACUAUAUUUAAGAUCUGAUAUCUUGAGGGUAAUGACUUCUGCAGUUACUGAUGGACAGAAUGGCUGUUGAUGCUUUCUUCGCUAGCCCAGAGGAUUCUGAAAGACAGAUGCGUUUGUGAUAUACUUUUAUAAGCCAGGAAAUGCAAUUUUGGGGGGUUUCUGGAAAUAGAAAGGUUAUGCAGCUUGGAACCGGUGAGACAUUACAGUCUCUAAGUCAUCAGAGAAAUGAUGAAGAGGCUGUUGUGGAUAGAGGUGGAACUCGCUCCAUUCUCAAAACACAUUUUGAAAAGGAAGAUUUGGAAGGCCACCGAACAUUGUUCAUUGGAGUUCAUGUGCCACUGGGUGGAAGAAAAAGUCACCGACGUCAUAGACACCGUGGACAUAAACACAGAAAGAGAGACAGAGAGAGAGAUUCAGGAUUAGAAGAUGGGCGAGAGUCUCCUCCUUUUGAUACCCCAUCACAAAGGGUGCAGUUUAUUCUUGGAACUGAAGAUGAUGAUGAGGAACACAUUCCUCACGAUCUCUUCACUGAGCUUGAUGAAAUUUGUUGGCGUGAAGGAGAAGACGCUGAAUGGAGGGAGACAGCAAGGUGGUUAAAGUUUGAAGAAGAUGUAGAGGAUGGUGGAGAGAGAUGGAGCAAACCAUAUGUUGCCACAUUGUCACUUCAUAGCUUGUUUGAGUUGAGGAGCUGUAUUCUGAAUGGCACAGUUCUGUUGGACAUGAGAGCUAACUCCUUAGAAGAAAUUGCAGAUAUGAUUCUGGACCAGCAGGUGGGCUCUGGGCAGCUCAGUGAGGAUGUUCGUCACAGGGUGCAUGAGGCAUUACUUAAGCAGCAUCACCAUCAGAACCAGAAGAAGCUGAGCAACAGGAUUCCAAUCGUGAGAUCCUUUGCUGAUAUUGGGAAGAAGCAGUCUGAGCCCCAUUCCAUGGAUAAAAAUGCAGGUCAGGUUGUUUCCCCACAGUCUGCUCCAGCCUGUAUUGAAAACAAAAAUGACGUGAGCAGAGAAAACAGCACUGUUGAUUUUAGCAAGGUUGAUCUACACUUCAUGAAAAAGAUACCACCUGGAGCAGAAGCAUCAAACAUUUUAGUUGGUGAACUGGAGUUCUUGGACCGUGCAGUUGUUGCCUUUGUGAGGUUGUCUCCAGCAGUGCUGCUCACAGGCCUAGCUGAAGUUCCAAUUCCAACAAGAUUUUUGUUUAUUCUUCUUGGACCUUUGGGAAAAGGACAACAGUACCACGAGAUUGGAAGAUCAAUUGCAACGCUAAUGACAGAUGAGGUAUUCCAUGAUGUUGCUUAUAAGGCAAAAGACCGCAAUGAUUUGGUUUCCGGAAUUGAUGAGUUUCUUGACCAGGUUACAGUUCUCCCCCCUGGAGAAUGGGACCCAACAAUUCGAAUAGAACCGCCUAAAAAUGUUCCUUCUCAGGAGAAGCGUAAGAUCCCAGGAGUGCCAAAUGGGACUGCAGCUCAUGGGGACCCAGAACAACCUGGUGGACACUCUGGACCAGAAUUGCAACGCACUGGAAAAUUUUUUGGAGGAUUGAUUUUAGAUAUAAAAAGAAAAGCUCCCUUCUUUUGGAGUGACUUCAGGGAUGCUCUCAGUCUACAGUGUCUGGCAUCAUUUUUGUUUCUCUACUGUGCUUGCAUGUCUCCUGUCAUCACAUUUGGUGGUCUGCUGGGAGAAGCUACUGAAGGUCGUAUAAGUGCAAUAGAAUCACUGUUUGGAGCAUCCAUGACUGGAAUUGCCUACUCUCUAUUUGGUGGUCAGCCUCUCACUAUACUAGGCAGCACAGGACCAGUUUUGGUGUUUGAGAAGAUCUUAUUCAAAUUUUGCAAAGAGUAUGGUUUGUCAUACCUUUCUCUGAGAGCUAGCAUUGGGCUGUGGACUGCAAUCCUGUGCAUCAUCCUUGUUGCAACUGAUGCAAGCUCCCUAGUCUGUUACAUUACCCGGUUUACUGAAGAAGCUUUUGCUUCUCUUAUCUGCAUCAUUUUCAUUUAUGAGGCCUUAGAGAAGCUAUUUCAUCUCAGUGAGACAUAUCCAAUCAACAUGCAUAAUGAUUUGGAUCUGCUGACUCAAUACUCAUGCAAUUGUGUGGAACCAGAACAUCCUAGCAAUAAAACCUUGCAAUACUGGCAUGACUACAAUAUAUCUGCAUCUGAUGUGCCAUGGGGGAACCUAACUGUGUCAGAAUGUAAGAAGCUUCAUGGAGAGUUUGUUGGACGAGCCUGUGGUCAUCAUGGCCCAUAUGUUCCAGAUGUCCUCUUCUGGUCCGUCAUCUUAUUCUUUUCUACAGUAACUCUAUCAUCCACACUGAAGCAGUUCAAAACUAGUCGAUACUUUCCAACAAAGGUGCGAUCUGUUGUCAGUGAUUUUGCUGUCUUUCUCACUAUUUUGUCCAUGGUUUUAAUUGACUACGCCAUUGGUAUCCCAUCACCAAAGCUUCAGGUUCCAAAUGCUUUUAAGCCCACUAGAGAUGAUCGUGGCUGGUUUAUUACUCCUUUGGGACCUAAUCCUUGGUGGACAGUGAUAGCUGCUGUAAUUCCAGCCCUGCUUUGUACUAUCCUUAUCUUUAUGGACCAGCAGAUUACAGCUGUCAUUAUAAAUAGAAAGGAACAUAAACUAAAGAAAGGAUGUGGAUACCAUCUCGACUUACUCAUGGUGGCAGUCAUGCUUGGAGUGUGCUCUAUUAUGGGAUUGCCAUGGUUUGUUGCUGCCACGGUCCUCUCUAUUUCCCAUGUGAAUAGCUUAAAACUGGAAUCAGAGUGCUCCGCUCCAGGGGAGCAGCCCAAAUUUCUUGGAAUCCGGGAGCAGAGAGUCACAGGACUCAUGAUUUUUGUCCUUAUGGGCUCAUCUGUCUUUUUGACAAGUAUCCUGAAGUUUAUUCCUAUGCCAGUACUUUAUGGAGUCUUUCUUUACAUGGGUGCUUCAUCUCUAAAGGGAAUUCAGCUUUUUGAUAGGAUAAAGCUAUUCUGGAUGCCUGCAAAGCAUCAGCCAGAUUUUAUUUAUUUGAGACAUGUCCCUCUUAGAAAAGUCCAUCUCUUCACUAUAAUUCAGCUGAGUUGUCUUGUACUCCUGUGGAUUAUAAAGGUUUCAAGAGCUGCCAUUGUCUUUCCUAUGAUGGUCCUAGCUUUGGUGUUUGUCCGAAAACUCAUGGAUUUCUUUUUUACUAAACGGGAGCUCAGCUGGUUAGAUGAUUUGAUGCCUGAGAGCAAGAAAAAGAAACUGGAAGAUGCUGAAAAAGAGGAAGAACAAAGUAUGUUAGCAAUGGAAGAGGAAGGGACUGUUCAGUUACCACUAGAAGGACAUUACAGAGAUGACCCAUCUGUGAUAAACAUUUCUGAUGAAAUGGCAAAAACUGCUGUGUGGAAGACAUUGCUGAUAUCCUCAGAGAAUGCAAAAGAUAAGGAGUCAAGCUUUCCUUCUAAAAGCUCCCCUUCCUAAUCACUCUAGAAGCUGAUUCCCCAAAGUUAAGGAAUUAUUCCCAUGAAACCUGUGUUGAAAUCCGAAGAGAGAAGAAAGCUGACUCAGGAAAAGGUGUUGACCGGGAGACUUGUCUAUGACUCACUCUUCAAUUAAUUUUUUACAAAUGAAUGAAAGGAGUGCCACAAUCGUUAAAUAUGACUGAUGUGCUCUUGUAACCUUUUGUCUGUCAUCCCAGACUAGCACAGGUAAUGUAGUGCAAUAUUUGUCUCAUUUCAUUGUGUCUAAAUGUCUACAUUGUCUAGUAUCCGUGCAAAAAUCUACUGUAGUCAAUGCAAAAAAUCUUCACUUUCUUUGCUGGUGUUGGCCAUUCAUCAGUACCUGUGUCACAUAUUUAACAAGCAACGUUUCUUUCAGAUUCAACUUACUUGUUAAUAGGUUUGUACUGUAUUUUGCUACUUUUUCUGUGUGAGAAUCCUUAAUAAUUUUCAUUCAAUAUGAACUUGAAACACUUGUUCCAUUUUUUUUUAAUCUCUUAAGUAAAUGUUUUUAAGAGACCGAAAUUAACAAGUAAAUAUUAAAGAUGUUUUUAAAGUGAAAACUGAUCUGACCCUAUGAAUGCUAAGAGGAUAACCCUUUCCUCCUCAAGCUAUCCUUUUGAAGUCAUGGAUUACUCUUGCAAUGGGGAUUGCAGGGUCAGAUUCUUUCUGUACUUGUGCAGUUUUCCUUGAUUUAAUACAGUAUAUUUAAUAUUCAAAUUUGUAUGUAACGGGAACAUAGUCUAUAUAUACAUAUAUAUAUAUAUAUAUAUAUAUAAAAACAUAAAUUAAAACACAUUCUCUCACAUUAUUUGAAAAAAACCACCACAUCCUUUGAUGUGAAACUUUGGUAUGGUAUUUGUUAAAACGCAAUCUGUGGUUACAAUAUCUUAUCAUCUUGUACUGUACGAACAUUUCCUUGGUAAGCCAAACUACUUUAUUAUGUCAUUAAUGAAUCCAUUAUUUUAUAAUAGGAGGACUUUUGUAAAUAUAAACUGUAUGCCACAAGCAGUUAUAUUACUUGCCCAAUAAUUUUCCUCUCUAUUGCCUAAAGUACAGCCACAUAAAUGGCAUAUUUAUAUUGUCCUUUCUCUCUCUCGCUCUCCUAAUAACUGUAAACCUCUGUACUCCAGACGUCAUUGUGUAUAAUACUUAAACAGGUAUCCUAUUGUUAUUUUUGUUACAGCUCUUUUCACUUUUCCAUCAAGUACAUAUUGAUUGAAAGAUUAAAAACAACAUUGCAAAGAUGUGGCUUUAAAACCAUUGCAAAGAAUUUUUUUCAUAACAUAUUUUGUUAUGGCAUGAUCCUUCAAGAUGUUUUCUUUGUGUAAAACAAAUAAUGCAAGAUUAAGUAUUCAAUUACUAGAGCAAAAGUUUUAUGGAUUAUUUGAAAUUCACUAAUUUUUAAAUUUUUUUAAGACAAAUUUUUAAAGACUAAAUGAAGGCUAACUCUCAUCAUUGUGUUUUUUUGCUUUGCAUCCGAGGAAUGAGAGUCUACAGUCUUGUAAUCUUUAUAAACUCAUUUACAGGGCUUUAACAGCCCCUAGCUUUCCAAACCACAAUAACCUUUCCAUUCACCUCAUGUGAAUACCUUUUCAUAUCCAGCACAUUUAAAAUACUCCUUCCAACGUUUGUUUGUGUGUGUGUGUGUGUGUGUGCACAUGCGUGUGUGUGUGUGUGUGUGUGUGUGUUUUACUACUUCUUUAGCCAUAAACAACAACUGCAUUUUGCUGCAAACUAAUAGGGUCACUGUUCUAAAUUCUACGUAGUAUUAUCAAAGCCCAUCAAAGGUCAUUUUUAUGGGGGGGAGGGGGGGCAGGAAUCUAAUGCACACAAAGAAGGAUUUACAUAUAAUUAAAUGUUUCUAUUUAUAAAUUUAGGAAAAAAUGCUGCUGCAUUAAGGUUAAAUGCUUUGUUUUGUGUAUUUGAUGCUAAAUUGUAUGAUUCCAGUUGUUUUAAGGCUAGUAUAGAAGUUCAAUACUGGUUUGUCCUGAAAGCAGCCUGGUGGUGUUUUAAUAUAUUGCUGACUUUGUUACACAUAAUGUAUACAAUCAAAGUGUAUUAGUUUCACUUGACCAACUCUUAGAAUAUUAAGAAAUCAGUGUAUUUAAUGGCAUUUCUGUAUUUCUGUUCAGUAUUUCAGAGUGGGUUUUUUUUUUUUUACAGUCACUCUGUUCUUGUGUGAAUUUUAAUGAUGUUCCAAUGUUAAUCUCAACAUUCUGCACUCACACACAAUAUACAGCAAAUUUAGUGUUAUAUUUACUUCUAAUUUCAUAUUCCUGGUCAAAAUUACUCAAUUUCUUGGAUGUAAUUUAUUACAAAAGUUUAUGUGUACAUGUGAAUAGAGUAUUGUGUUUUUCACAAUUAAGAAAUGUUAUGUGAAAAAUAAAUAUUUAUC